rnacentral:sRNA from 2 species
CUAAGUUGUUGGUUAUUAUCUAUCUAGCGGUAGCUAAUAUAUGUGUGUGGGAGUCACAUAGGAUAGGGCUUGUGCAGGACCUCCAGCAACUAUGAAAUGGGAGUUUGCUUGGCGUUUGAGUUACGUAAUCUAGUCACCUUGCUUCCCAGAGCUUGGUCAUGGCACACUGCCUUGAUAUAGUUCCUAUUUUUGUUACAGACAUCCUCCCCUUUUCUUUUCUUUUCUCAGCUUUAGGCUUGGUUGAAUGCGCUUUUUUACUGUAUUAAGAUUGCUGUCUAUAAUCACCCAAUGUAUUUGGCUCUUAUAGAAUUAGAUACACAAAUCGUUCAAUACAUAAUAAAUUCACCACGAACAAAACUGCAGCACUUAUCUCUGAGCAUUCAUGGUACUAAAACAUCAGCAGCCUUAAUAGUAUCGAAGAUUUGUACAAUUGCCGCCGCAUGUUGCUUUGAGUCCAUGUAAUCUGACACCAUCGGUGUCAGUGAUGGUUGAUUGAUUGACACCAUAUAUGUCAUGAUGUACACACCAACCACCCGCAGAGCAUAUAUCUUUCUUUGACCCUUUUGCUGACCUGUAUGAAGAGCAUUCAGAGAGUAACUGAGUAGUUGCUCAUCUGUCUGAUGAUCCUGCUCCAUAGUUUGCUGUUGAGGCUUUG